AGCCUAGCUCUAGCCCAACCCCCACAACCAAGCACACCCAAAAAUCCACUUACCCAUUAAACUAAAACAUUCUCCCAUCCUAGUAUAGGCGAUAGAAAAGACUAUCAGGCGCGAUAGAGACCCGUACCGUAAGGGAAAGAUGAAAUAGCAAUGAAUAAGCCAAGCAAUAAACAGCAAAGAUAAACCCUUGUACCUCUUGCAUCAUGAUUUAGCAAGAACAACCAAGCAAAGCGAACUUAAGCUUGCCACCCCGAAACCCAAGCGAGCUACUUACGAGCAGCUAUCCUUUGAGCGAACCCGUCUCUGUUGCAAAAGAGUGGGACGAC
rnacentral:rRNA from 1 species